AGGUCAUCCCUACAUAUUAUAGUUACCAUGAAGCUGUUAAGAUUGCUUUUUAAUAUUAGUAGUAAAAUGAGAAGAAUAAACAAGUAAAUUUCUUAAUUUUGUUGAUAAUUAAACAUUUUCAUUUAUCAUGUCUUCAUUCUUGCAAAAACCAAUAUGAAUAUUAUUCCUUCUUAAAAGGGUUGUCAAUAUUUUGUUGGCUUACCGUACACUUAUCAAUGAUAUCAUCUGCCAUGGACAUCACAUUGAAAGCAGGUUGUAAAGUUGGUAAAAACCCUUUUCUUAAGGUGAUGAGUUAAAGGAUUUAUGUGUUGUCACUCCUUGCCUUUCAAACCUUAGUAUCUUUAAACAUCACUCACAUCAUGACAUGUACAUGUAUUUCGAACUUAUAGAUCAUAUUUGAGAAAUCUAAAACAAUGGUGCACAUUUAGAAUACUGGAUUGAUAGGUGGAUGGAUAACAAGAUCAUACAUCCAUGCUUUUUCUUCCCAGAUUAAAGAUUGUCGACCUGAUCCGUAUAUUGAAGUUGGAACAUUCCAUGAACCUUGCAAAGUGCUCAUUUUUUGACUGGGUUGGAGUAGGAGACAAGAGGGCUUAAAGCCAGAACUGUCUAUGUCCAUUUUUUGUGAAAUUCAGUUAUGUCCACCAAAGAACUGUAUAUUCAUUUCACUUUGUGUCUAUUCAGAACUGUCUAUUCCCAUGUGUCCAUUAGCCAUUUUACUUUGAUGUUCAGACUGUUUCAAGUACAUUCAUCAAGAAUUGCGCAAUACUUGCAGUUUUCUACUCAUUAAGCAGAUAAGAUUCCCUAUGCAGCUAUUUCACUGAUUGUGGCCAAGCAACACCAUACCAUUGCCCGGAAAAAACGUUAUGAUAAAUAAAAAAGACCAAUGUGCAACAUGUACGAAGUAUGACCAGUUGUCUGGAGAUCAGAAGGAGAAUUUCACGGAAACCCAUCUCGUACAAAAAACAGAGGCUCAAGAUGCCAAAGCAGUUCCUUGCAUCGUGUAAGACAGAAAAUCGUUGUGAAUAAGAUGGAGUGCAAAAGAGGACAUGCUUACAACAAGAAAUAUGCUGAUAAAUUUGACUUCGGUGCAUCAUCAGGAAAGAGCAAACAUCAUGCAACUUGCAAGGAAUGUCGCCGAGAUUUGUCAAUUUUGCAUGGCGGUUGUAAUGACAUUGUUGUUCAUUGCAAAUCAAAGCAACACAUCACUGCUUUCAAGUCUGAAUCGUCAGCACGAGAAAUAACAUCAUGGAUGUCAACCUCCAAGGAUUUUAAUAUAACUAGAGCUGAGUGCUUAUUUACAUCAUUUUAUUUGGAGCACAAUAUUCCUCUAUCAGCUGCAAGUCACAUGGGACCAUUGUUGAAAAAAGCCUUUCCUAAUUCUGAGGAGGUUAUGAAGUUUACCAGUGCAAGGACCAAACAUCUUGUCUUGUGCGUGAAAUGGCCAAAGAUAAACAAGGACAGAUCGUUUCAGCCAUGAAAGCACGGCCAAUUGCAAUAUCAACUGAUGGGAGUAAUGUCAGCGACAGUAAACCAUACCAAAUUGUGGCAUGCCUCGGAAAGUGUCAGUGCUUGGUUGCCCCAAUCAUCUAAUUGAUUCUGCUGCCAAAGAUGCGUCAUCUGCAUUACCAUAUUCAAUUGACUCGCUCCUUAUUGAUGUGUUCUACUAUCUGGAAGCCAGCGUGAACAGGAAAUUGAAUCUCAAGAAGUUCCAGAUGCUCAUUGGGAACGAAGUGCAGGCAGUUCUGAAACAUGCUUGUACGAGAUGGCUGAGCUUGGGCCAAUGCUUGCCAAGAUUUAUCCAACAAUGGCAAGCUCUAGUCCUCUUUUUUGAAGGAGAAGUGUCAGCCGAGCAGAAGACGCCUACUCAACAGACAAAGCAGAAGAAGCCUACUCAACAGACCAAGGCUACCAAGAAUAGUGUCCAAACUUCACUUGUUCCAAAGAAGCCAACUCCAGCUGUGAAAAAUGAACCUGCUCAGGGAUCUCAACUGAAGCUUGUCUUGUCCUGCAGAAAAAGCCUGCUCACCAAACCAAGAUGACUGCACAACUCCAAGCAUUCUGCAUUCCCAAGAAGGUGUCUGCAGAUCCACCACAUGUGAGCAAACCUGCCCAGUCUCAGACCCAAGUUCAACUUCAAACACCACAGCCACAACACAGUAGACCUGCAUCUUCAAGCUCUACUACUCGGGAAAAACGACAAAUGAGGAAGCUUCGGAUACACCUAGCAAAAAGCAGAAGACUGGGAAAGUUGUUGGCAAGGCAACAGGCUCAACAGUGCUCAAGACUGGAACUUCCAGUCAUCCCAGUAUGAUUUCUAGUAAAAUGACUGGAAAUGAAAAAACAAGAUGUGGAGGAAAAAAAGAAACAAGACAGACAGUAAGAGAUAAAACAAGACAGGAAAGAAUUCUGAAUUCAUUGCACUCAAACCCAAUAUCAGCCACAGCAUCAUUGCAUUUCACAAGAAAAAUGUCAUCUUUCAGACGAGAAGUCCUCUGAUACAAAAGCUAAAAGGAAUACUAGAAAGUCUACUGCGUGACUUGUACAGCCAAUUUGUAGCUCCACAAGCAAUCAUUGCAGCCACAGACUUGACCCUUCUGGACUACAAGAACAAGGAGAAUCUUUGUGAAGAAUCUGAAAUGGUCAUAAAAAGCGCAACAAGAGAAAUUGUGAACACUUUAGAUGAGUCUGAUUGCCAUAAGUUCUAUGCAGCAGUGCAUUCAUAUUACACCAAGGCAUGUGACUACAUUGUAAGUAAGUUUCUAUUGAAGUCUGAUGUUCUCAUCCAUGUGCAAGUGGCUGACAUUGCAUAUCAGAAGGAUGCCAAAUUCACUUCUCUAAAGUUCUUCAUCAACAAGUUCCCCUGCAUGUUGCUUCAGGAAGAAGAAGAAGACAAGCACAGUGCCCUAGAUGCUCUGGAGAACCAGUUCCUUAUCUAUCAAAUUGCUCAGCUUCCAGACUUAGUGCAAAAUGAGGAAUCUACUGACAAGCAGUGGACAAGUAUGAUGACAGAAAAGAAUGUUUCUGGUGAACUGUGCUAUGACAGACUUGCAAAAGGGAUUCUAACCAUACCCCAUACCAAUGCUGAAUGUAAAAGGGUCUUCAGUCAGGUGCGAAAGAACAAAACUGACUUCAGAGGGUCCAUGAGCAACGAAACUCUAAAAAGUGUCCUUAUUACUAAGGCUCGCCAAACAACACCCUGCUACAUGAGGGAAUUUGACUCUGAUUUUCCAAAGAAAGCUCGUGAUGUGCGCUACGCGCACAUGAUAUUCAGUUUUACUUAAAUGUUACUAAUUGAAAAUUCCAAAGUGUUGGCAGCUAUGCCAGGCCAAGGUAGUUGCUGGAAAGAGGACUUUUGUCUCUGCUUCUUUUGAUUUGCAAAGUGAAUGUCGCUGCAACAUUACUCUAUGCCAUCCAGAACACACAUCUCAAAGUCAUCGCACACAAUUUUCUGGAGAGUGGGCAUUCCCACGUGGAAUGCAAUAGCAUGCAUUCUGCUAUUGAAACAGAAAAAAAGAACAUCAAUGUCUUCACAAUGCAUGACUGGGUAAAACAUCUUCCACAAAUUAAGACGUCGGCUUCCAUACAAGGUCAUAAACAUGUGCCAUGGAGACUUUUAUGAUCUGAAAAAUCUCUCACAGCAGAUCAUGAAUAACAAACGCCUAGACGAAGAUAGACACGUCUUCAACUGGCUACAUGUAAAGAGCUUCCAAUACAGGAAGGAAGAGCAAAGCACCAUCUGCUACCAUCUAUAACUACUUGGAUGACUACAAGAAGAUAGAUCAUCAGUUCCACCUAACCUGGACCUUGUCUACCAAGAGAAGCAUUUAAAAAAGCCUAAACCUUAAGAAGAAGGAUCUCAUCAACUUGUGCAAUAGCCUAGCCAUUCCUGAAGAGUUCCAUGGAUGGUAUUUGGCACUCCCAUUUUUUAAGUUUCUGACAUUGACAGGGUCAAAAGGUCAUGGCUUCCAUGUAUGAUGUUUGACCAAGUAUUAUUUAUAAGUUAAUGGCAUUAAACAUAACUACUACACUUUGUCAGAUUUUAUGCUUGCAAUCAAACUUUUAAAUGCAUUUUUACUCAAAUGGCAUAUUUGGACAUAGACAGUUGUGGUUUUAAGUCCUCGAUCUAUUAUUUUAUUUCUAAUGUAUUCUUUUGUUCUGGAAUACAUCAAGUUACUUUGAGAAACGUAUCAAAGCAAUUUGAUAUCAAUUCAUAUCUCCCACUUAUACAUCUAUUUACCUGUAUUCACAUUUCUGCUUGUACAUGUAUAUAUGCAAUUGUAGCACUUUUUGAUGAUAUGCGCAUACUAAUUGCUAUGUAACACCUGACAGGUGUAUCCAAAUUCGAUGAAAAUGGUAUCAAAAUGUGCAUAAGACUUGAGGAAAAGAAUCGAAGAACAACAAUGUAAAAUUCCAAGCGGUUGCGGCGCUAUCUCCAAAAAUGCGGGGUGGGGGAGGGGGGGGGGGGCUCUUACGCCACCCCCCCCCCAAGUACAGUAAGGAGUAAAUGACGUUAGCCAUAUAAUUAUAAAUAUGCAUUUUUUAAGAUGCUUACAUAUACAUGUAAAGUGUUAAAGGGCAAGUUCACCCGAAAAUAAGUUGAUCUUCAUACAUGUAAAGUGUUAAAGGAGAAGUCCACCCCAAAAAUAAGUUGGUCUUCAUAAAAGCAGAUAAAUGAGAGAAACAAAUCAAUGAAAUUUUGAGGAAAAUCAAAAACAAAUGAGAAAGUUAUAAAUUGUUGGAGUUGUAAUCAGUGAAGCACAAAUUGCAAACUGUGUGACAUCACAUGCGAGCUCAUAUCUCAUUUGCUUUGUACAAAAAAUAUUUUGAAAAAUUAAUUUCCUCAGACGUUGAUUAAAUGAAUACGAUAACAUUAGCAUAAAACCAGUGAUCAGUAAUAACAUCUAUCUGAAAGAUGAAUAAGGGUAAUGCUUUUCACCUACUAACAAUACUGGUGAAGGUGAUAGCAGUAGUAAAGGUAACGGAGACACUGAUUAUAUUUAAUAUUAGCAGUGACAAUGGAAAUGUUUCAUUUAUAUUACAUUUUUUUAUCACCAUGUGUAGGUAUUGAAUAUCUUCAAAAUUUCUACCAUUUCAGAAAACUUGGUUUAGUGAAGACUGGGUCUUGGCGAGUGUCUUUGAUAUGUUAAGGGAAUUGAGGACAAAUGAUGGUGUAAUACCGGAGUUGAAAGAUGAGUAUGAAUAUGACAUAGUGCUCCGUGAGAAGUUGGUGAAGUCAUGGGGGUUAGCCCAGGAAGCCUUAAAAGGUGCAUGCUGCAGGAAAAUACAAGAAGUAUUAGGAUAUGAAUGCUAGAAACAGGAAAUUUAAUAACGGAGAUCAGGGUUUAUCUUGCUUCCCACUGAUCAGAACAAGUUGUUGCUGAAAUGGAAGGGCCCAUUCCCUGUGCUGGCGUAAAGUAUGACUAUGACUACAUUGUCAGUGGUGUUCUUAAGAAAUAUCACAUUAAUCUUCUCAACAAAUAAUUUCUCAGGCAGAAGGUUAACUUGUCAGUGGCUGGCUGCUUUGAUUUGUGUAUAGAGAGUAGGAAGGUGUGUCAAGAUUCUGCAGAAGAUGCCGAGGAUCAGUUUAUAUUGAAGGUAAAUGUGGGUGCUGGGCUUAUGCAGUAACAUUCAGGAGAAGAAUUCCUGAUUGCUUAUGCGAGUAACAAGUCAUUACCACGGGUAGAAAAUUACACAAAAAAGAAAAAAGUGCUUAGCAAUAGUACGAGCAAUCAAAAAGUUAAAAUAUUAUUUGUAUUGAAUUGAAGUACACACAGACCACAAACCAUUCUUCUAUAUUCAAGCGAAGAGGUUUGACAAUAAGAGAAUCAUGAGAUGGAGCAUGAUGCUCCAAGAUUACAGGUUUCGGCUUGUAUCGGUGAAGGUUCAGUAUAAUGUUACAGCAGAUUAUAUGAGCAGAAUGUAAAAUGCACUAUACUCAUGGAUUUCUUUUGUCUGUCUACCAUUGUAAAUUAUUGGAUGUGUAUCACGGUUUAAUAACAUAUUUUGUUAAUGUCAUUUGUUGAAUACAUAUUGCAUUUACCAGGAUUAUGUAAUGUUGAGAUUUAUUUUAUAUUGAUCUUCCCAGCCACAAAUGUAUACCCAUCAAACUUUCUAUGAUAGCACAUACAAAAUUAUUAUCCUGAGCAUAUGUUUUGUAGAAAUUCAUGAAAUCCACUACACAAGUUUGAUAUGAAGAAGAAAAUAUUACAGCAAUAUAUACGCAUUGUAGUUUAUGCAAGUGCAGGAAUAUUACUCACUACAUUUUGAACAGAAAAAACAGAAAGAGAUGAUAAUUAGACAGCCACCUUAUGUAUCUAAAUAUAUCAGAGAGGGCUUAAUGAUGCUGAACACAAUGGGUUGUGCUCUUUAAUGCUGGAUAAUUGUUUAAUUUUGAGUCAAAGACAUUGUCUUCAGGUGAUGAUGUGAACAUUUGAUAAUCUCUACUUUGUAUUAACAGGUUAUAUACAAACUCUAUGGACAUUGACGUAUAGCCAUGUUAUAGGUUUUCAACUUUGUGCAGAAUAUGUCAUACAUAUUUAUACAUGGAUUGUUUUUAUGCUAAUUAUCCCACAGCAUGAUAUUGUUGUGCUAUGUUGGCAUUGUUUUUAGCAAAGGUUUUAUUCAAAGGUGUUUGUAGACUUAUAACCAUGCUCAACCUUUUUCAUGAUAUUAACGUUCUGAAGUACGGGUGCUAUAUAAUAUCAUUUAAAACAAAAAAUCAGAUUAUUGGAAACACGUUUUAGUAAUUGCAUUUAGAAUUGCGUUUAGAAUUGCAUGUGCAGAUUUCAACUCAAAUACAAGAGAAAUGUAAUGUAUCUAAGUCUCAUGACUUGAUAAAAGUAAGAAUGUCAUAUUAUUUAUUGUACAUUAUAAAACUUAGUUGAUUAAACCAUAGGUUGAGAACUGAGAUUUCUGGAUAUACAACUAUAUGUAUAUUGACUAGGAUUGGUAUUUAGUGAUAUGAGCUAUGUUGUGUCAUGAUCUUCUGAUAUCAUGUAAUGGUUGAUAAGAUGAAGAAUGUUAUGUUUGACUUUAAAGGUUUACCUUGAUAAAGCUUAAAUGAUAAUUUAUGUGCAGUAAAAAUUGAAACAGUUUGUUCCAAACAUUUUCAUGA